UAAUUGAAGAGUUUGAUCAUGGCUCAGAUUGAACGCUGGCGGCAGGUCUUAACACAUGCAAGUCGAGCGGUAGCACAGGGAGCUUGCUCCACGGUGACGAGCGGCGGACGGGUGGUAAUGUCUGGGAAACUGCCUGAUGGAGAGGGAUAACUACUGGAAACGGUAGCUAAUACCGCAUAACGUCGCAAGACCAAAGAGGGACCUUCGGGCCUCUUGCCAUCAGAUGUGCCCAGAUGGGAUUGGCUAGUAGGUGGGGUAAUG
rnacentral:rRNA from 1 species